rnacentral:rRNA from 1 species
AAUGGGGGAAACCCUGAUGCAGCGAUGCCGCGUGAGUGAAGAAGGCCCUUGGGUUGUAAAACUCUUUCGUCGGGGAAGAAAAUGACUGUACCCGAAUAAGAAGGUCCGGCUAACUUCGUGCCAGCAGCCGCGGUAAUACGAAGGGACCUAGCGUAGUUCGGAAUUACUGGGCUUAAAGAGUUCGUAGGUGGUUAAAAAAGUUGGUGGUGAAAUCCCAGAGCUUAACUCUGGAACUGCCAUCAAAACUUUUUAGCUAGAGUAUGAUAGAGGAAAGCAGAAUUUCUAGUGUAGAGGUGAAAUUCGUAGAUAUUAGAAAGAAUACCAAUUGCGAAGGCAGCUUUCUGGAUCAUUACUGACACUGAGGAACGAAAGCAUGGGUAGCGAAGAGGAUU